AUUUUGAAAAUGAUGAAAAUAACGCGGAUGAAAUAUAUGUCCGAGAGCGCAAAAAAUGUGUGGAUAUUUCCGUUGCCUUCCUUCUGAUUCAAAAU
rfam:Schizosaccharomyces pombe chromosome I, complete replicon